CCCCACCGUUGGCGGCCAACGUAGCUCAGCGGUAGAGCAUUGGACUUUUAAUCCAAUGGCCGUGGGUUCGAU